UACAGAGGUCCCAAGCGUUGUUCGGAUUCAUUGGGCGUAAAGGGUGCGUAGGCGGCGCGGUAAGUCGGGUGUGAAUCUCGGGGCUUAACUCCGAAACUGCAUUCGAUACUGCCGUGCUUGAGGACUGGAGAGGAGACUGGAAUUUACGGUGCGCGGUGAAAUGCGUAGAUAUCGUAAGGAAGACCAGUGGCGAAGGCGGGUCUCUGGACAGUUCCUGACGCUGAGGCACGAAGGCCAGGGGAGCAAACGGG
rnacentral:rRNA from 1 species